UACGGAGGGUGCAAGCGUUAUCCGGAUUCACUGGGUUUAAAGGGUGCGUAGGUGGGCAAGUAAGUCAGUGGUGAAAUCUCCGGGCUUAACCCGGAAACUGCCAUUGAUACUAUUUGUCUUGAAUACUGUGGAGGUCAGCGGAAUAUGUCAUGUAGCGGUGAAAUGCUUAGAUAUGACAUAGAACACCAAUUGCGAAGGCAGCUGGCUACACGAGCAUUGACACUCAGGCACGAAAGCGUGGGGAUCAAACAGG
rnacentral:rRNA from 1 species